AGGACGAACGCUGGCGGCACGCUUAACACAUGCAAGUCGAACGAGGUUCAAGGAGCUUGCUCCUGAAGAUCUAGUGGCGAACGGGUGCGUAACACGUGAGAAACCUGUCCCGAACUUGGGAAUAACAGCCGGAAACGGCUGCUAAUACCGAAUAUCUUCGUAACGUCGCAUGGCGAAUCGAAGAAAGCUUUAUGCGGUUUGGGAGGGUCUCGCGGCCUAUCAGCUAGUUGGUGAGGUAAUGGCUCACCAAGGCAUCGACGGGUAGCUGGUCUGAGAGGAUGAUCAGCCACACUGGGACUGAGACACGGCCCAGACUCCUACGGGAGCAGCAGUGGGAAUAUUGCACAAUGGGCGAAAGCCUGAUGCAGCGAUGCCGCGUGCGGGAAGAAGGCCCUAGGGUUGUAAACCGCUUUCAGUAGGAAGAAAUGACGGUACUACAGAAGAAGUGACGGCCAACGUACGUGCCAGCAGCCGCGUAA
rnacentral:rRNA from 1 species